rnacentral:rRNA from 1 species
AUACGAAGGGGGCAAGCGUUGUUCGGAAUAACUGGGCGUAAAGCGCACGUAGGCGGAAUGUUAAGUUAGAGGUGAAAUCCCAGGGCUCAACCCUGGAACUGCCUUUAAUACUGGCAAUCUAGAGACCGAGAGAGGUGAGUGGAAUUCCGAGUGUAGAGGUGAAAUUCGUAGAUAUUCGGAGGAACACCAGUGGCGAAGGCGGCUCACUGGCUCGGUACUGACGCUGAGGUGCGAAAGCGUGGGGAGCAAACAGGAUUAGAAACCCCGGUAGUCC